AUCAUGGCUCAGAUUGAACGCUGGCGGCAUGCCUUACACAUGCAAGUCGAACGGCAGCACGGGUGCUUGCACCUGGUGGCGAGUGGCGAACGGGUGAGUAAUACAUCGGAACGUACCUUAUCGUGGGGGAUAACGCAGCGAAAGCUGUGCUAAUACCGCAUACGCCCUGAGGGGGAAAGCGGGGGAUCGAAAGACCUCGCGCGAUUAGAGCGGCCGAUGCCUGAUUAGCUUGUUGGUGGGGUAAAAGCCCACCAAGGCGACGAUCAGUAGCUGGUCUGAGAGGACGAUCAGCCACACUGGGACUGAGACACGGCCCAGACUCCUACGGGAGGCAGCAGUGGGGAAUUUUGGACAAUGGGGGAAACCCUGAUCCAGCAAUGCCGCGUGAGUGAAGAAGGCCUUCGGGUUGUAAAGCUCUUUUGUCAGGGAAGAAACACCGGCUCUAACACAGUCCGGGAAUGACGGUACCUGAAGAAUAAGCACCGGCUAACUACGUG
rnacentral:rRNA from 1 species